GAUGAACGCUGGCGGCGUGCCUAAUACAUGCAAGUCGAGCGAACGGACGAGAAGCUUGCUUCUCUGAUGUUAGCGGCGGACGGGUGAGUAACACGUGGAUAACCUACCUAUAAGACUGGGAUAACUUCGGGAAACCGGAGCUAAUACCGGAUAAUAUUUUGAACCGCAUGGUUCAAAAGUGAAAGACGGUCUUGCUGUCACUUAUAGAUGGAUCCGCGCUGCAUUAGCUAGUUGGUAAGGUAACGGCUUACCAAGGCAACGAUGCAUAGCCGACCUGAGAGGGUGAUCGGCCACACUGGAACUGAGACACGGUCCAGACUCCUACGGGAGGCAGCAGUAGGGAAUCUUCCGCAAUGGGCGAAAGCCUGACGGAGCAACGCCGCGUGAGUGAUGAAGGUCUUCGGAUCGUAAAACUCUGUUAUUAGGGAAGAACAUAUGUGUAAGUAACUGUGCACAUCUUGACGGUACCUAAUCAGAAAGCCACGGCUAACUACGUGCCAGCAGCCGCGGUAAUACGUAGGUGGCAAGCGUUAUCCGGAAUUAUUGGGCGUAAAGCGCGCGUAGGCGGUUUUUUAAGUCUGAUGUGAAAGCCCACGGCUCAACCGUGGAGGGUCAUUGGAAACUGGAAAACUUGAGUGCGGAAGAGGAAAGUGGAAUUCCAUGUGUAGCGGUGAAAUGCGCAGAGAUAUGGAGGAACACCAGUGGCGAAGGCGACUUUCUGGUCUGUAACUGACGCUGAUGUGCGAAAGCGUGGGGAUCAAACAGGAUUAGAUACCCUGGUAGUCCACGCCGUAAACGAUGAGUGCUAAGUGUUAGGGGGUUUCCGCCCCUUAGUGCUGCAGCUAACGCAUUAAGCACUCCGCCUGGGGAGUACGACCGCAAGGUUGAAACUCAAAGGAAUUGACGGGGACCCGCACAAGCGGUGGAGCAUGUGGUUUAAUUCGAAGCAACGCGAAGAACCUUACCAAAUCUUGACAUCCUUUGACAACUCUAGAGAUAGAGCCUUCCUCUUCGGGGGACAAAGUGACAGGUGGUGCAUGGUUGUCGUCAGCUCGUGUCGUGAGAUGUUGGGUUAAGUCCCGCAACGAGCGCAACCCUUAAGCUUAGUUGCCAUCAUUAAGUUGGGCACUCUAAGUUGACUGCCGGUGACAAACCGGAGGAAGGUGGGGAUGACGUCAAAUCAUCAUGCCCCUUAUGAUUUGGGCUACACACGUGCUACAAUGGACAAUACAAAGGGCAGCGAAACCGCGAGGUCAAGCAAAUCCCAUAAAGUUGUUCUCAGUUCGGAUUGUAGUCUGCAACUCGACUACAUGAAGCUGGAAUCGCUAGUAAUCGUAGAUCAGCAUGCUACGGUGAAUACGUUCCCGGGUCU
rnacentral:rRNA from 1 species